UGAAUAAGUCAGCCUAAUCCAAUAGAUAGCUAACCCUAUUGUUAUAACGAGAAUCUAUUGGAGCGGAGGAACCAAAUUUUGGGGCGUGUUUCUGCCUUGUGUAAAUCUCAACAGCAGAGAGGGACAUCUCUCAGUCCUAGCCCGUCAGCUAACUUCGUAGGCAUUGAGGGAAGAUUGA
rnacentral:sRNA from 2 species